AUUAUUAUUAUUAAUAAAAAACCACUAAACAAUUUUUCGAAUAGCUCGGAUAUAAAUAUAAGGCAUUCAUAAGGAUGGCAGGCGGGCGGGUUUUCACGGGUACCCGGUUCGCCCAAAUCCUAUUAGAACGGAUUUGGGUUUUUACAAAACGGAUUUGGGCGGAUUCGAGUUUGAAAAAUUUUACCCGUCUCGGAUUCAGGAUUAGGUGAUCGGAUACCCGUUACCCGAACCCGAUUAACUAUACUAACAAAACUAACCCUAAUCCCUAAUUUAUUUUUUCAUUUUACUCUACUUUCCUCUUUUUCGUCUGCGUCUCUCUCCCUCGCUUCCCUUCCCAUAGUUCUCAGCCAUGCCUCUCCCCCACUUCACUGACGACUGCCGGCAGCCCAGUCGUCACCGGCGACGUCUCCUUUCUCUCCCCAGUCGACAAUAAAUCUUCUCUCUCCCCAUAUCUCCUUCUCUCUCUCCGGCGGCGACAUCUCCGACUUUCCAGUUGAAGACAACUCUUCCCUCUGCCCGGUCGGGUGAAAUCUACUCUUUUCGAUUUACGCUAGAGACAACCCUUCCUCUCCUCAAUGGGGACAUCUGCGCACAUCUGCGGACAUCUGCUUUGACUGGAACUCUCUUCAGGUUUCAAGAUCUUUUAUGUGCAUGUUCUUAAAGAAUUUUAUAAUAUAUGGACUAUUAAUCUGAUUAUUUGGAUAUGUUAAAAAAUCUAAUUAUUUGCUAUUUGAUUAAUGUAAUACUGUUGAUUUUUAGAAUUUAUGGACAAUUAAUCUUGAUUAUUUAAUUAUAAAUCAUAAUUUAAUUAUAAAUCAUUAUUUGCUGGGAUGCUGAGUUGCUGGUUCUUGUCAUUAAAAAUUUCUCCAGGUAGUUUUUGUCAUUGAAUUGAAUUAAAAAAAUUAUUUGCUGGGUUGCUGAAUUGCUGGUUCUUGUCAUUGAACAUUUUUCCUCUUACUGCUGGUUUGCUGGGUUGUGUAACUGUUAAAUAGUUUAUUUGGUAGUUUUUAUCAUUAAAUUGAAUUGAAUUAAAAAAAUCGGGUUCGGAUAUUGUUAAACGGAUUUGGGACGGAUUCAGAUAGUAAAAUUAAAAUAUUAAACGAGUUUGAGACGGGUUCGGAAAUUGUAUAUAUAAUCGGAUUCGGAUUUGGGUACUCUCAAUUUUACGGUACCCUACCCGUUUACAUCCCUAGGCAUUCACACUCGGUUGGAGGUAUUAUAAAAUUUACGUGUACUAGUAUAUAAGGCUCUGUUUUGGAAGACCCAGCAUCUAUAGUCAACCUUCAAACUCCUAGUUUUGAAGGUAUCAUACUAGACACAACGGAGCAUAUUUCUG
rnacentral:lncRNA from 1 species